AUUUCUUUAAGCUUCAAAUCUUUUCACCCUGGCCUCAGGCUCUUGCACAGUUUGCUAAAGAAAUUCUGUCAAUUCACCUCAUUUUACCUGCUCAUGACCUGUGACUGGCUGACUCAAGUUUUUGAAUCACUCUCACAGCUGCUUGGCACUGCCUCUUUCAUGACGGCCUUUGAAACCCAGGUGCCUGGAAAGGCAGAAAGAAUUCUGUCUGAAAACAUCUUUCAUCUGCCUAUGUUUGCUGUGGUCAUCGCACAGCUAGAAGCAAUGCUCAAGCCUUUGGAAACUAAAACGUAGCUUCCUGAAAGGAUGACUUGAUCAAGUUACACAGAGGUUGGAAGUGAGAGGCCUGGAUUGAAAUUCCAGCUCUGUCACCAGGGGCAAUUUUCAUUAUUCAUUCUGCAUAAAGACCAAAAUGCAAGGUACAAAAUCAUCUAAAUAGUUAUCCUCAAAUAAUUGGAUAACAAUCAAACAUUUUUUUUAAGUAUAAUUUAAGAAUCAAAGGAUUCUUCAAUAGGAUAAAGCAUUCCUAUUUUGAAUCAAAAAAUCAGCACUGAUAAAGUAAGUUCAAAAUUAGGAACAGGGACUUCCCUGGCAGUCUAGUGGUUAAGAUUUUGUGUUUCCAAUGCAGGAGGUUCAGAUUCAAUCCCUGAUCAGGGAACUAAAAGCCUGCAUACUUCGAGGUGAAGCCAAAAAAUAAAUAAAAAAUAAAGGUAAAAAACA
rnacentral:tRNA from 1 species